rnacentral:tRNA from 1 species
GACCCGUUCGUCAAACGGUUAUGGCACCAUCUUAUUAAUGGGUCGCGGGUUCAAGUCCCGCACAGGUCA